rnacentral:rRNA from 1 species
AGUACUCCUUCUAAGCUAAAUAUCACCACGAGACCGAUAGCGAACAAGUACCGUGAGGGAAAGUUGAAAAGCACUCUGAAUAGAGAGUCAAAAAGUACGUGAAACUGCCUAGGGCUCAAGCCCGUUGAACUCGAUUAUCCGCGGCGGAGAUAUUCACCUGCGGUUGGCCCUCACCAGGUCCGCCGCAGGGCACUUACCUCCUGCCUCACGAGGACGUUGCGAUCCAUUACGAAACGGUUAGCCAGCAAUGGCUACAGGCCCGGCACCUGCCCCUUGGCAUCUGGUUGCUUGUCCCACAGUAGCGGCGCUCAGUUCGGAAGGCCUGCGCCGCAACCUGGGGCUUACCGAUGCGUGGUGUGCAGCCGGGCGCGUGAUGGAUUCCCGCGUACACCGUCUCGGGAGAGGCUCGCCUCUCCCACCUCCACCAAGGUGACGGACUGUCGAUCGGCAACGAUAAAAUCGAGGUACCUUCGGGACCCGUCUUGAAACAC